rnacentral:tRNA from 1 species
GAAGGUAUAGGUCAGCGGUAGAGCUCAUGCUUAGCAUGCAUUAGGUCCUGGGUUCAACCCCCAGCACCUCCA